rfam:Picea glauca, whole genome shotgun sequence.
ACAUGUCUACAACAUAGCAUUAAUGCACCGGAUCCCAUUAGAACUCCACAGGUAAGCGUGCUUGGGCUAGAGUAGUACUGAGAUGGGUGAAUGCCCAGGAAGUCCUAGUGUUUUACAUGCC